GGGAGCGGGCGCCCAGCCUCCGCGUUUCCCCCAAGCGCCCCCGGCCCUUCGCGCCCGCCCGCCUCCAUCUGCGCCGGAGGUCUGGGCUGUGGGCCCCGGCGGGCGUUGGGCGCGCGUCCCCGCGGCCGUCUCCAUGGAGACCGCGCGCGCCGCCCAACCGGCCCGCCGGCGGGCGUUGGGCGCGCGUCCCCGCGGCCGUCUCCAUGGAGACCGCGCGCGCCCUGGGCGGGGCCGGCGGAGGAGGGGCCUCGGGGCGACGCGGGCUGGCGCGGCCGCCGAGGGAGCCGCUCCGGGAGAGGCGCUGAGCCAGAGCCGGCGACCUGGACCCUCGCUGGCGGUCGCUCGUGCAGGGCCGCUCUGGAGGCGGCUCUGCGGUGCGGGCCCGUGCGGAGACCGCGCCCUGGGACGCCGUCCUGCCGGCCCCCACCGCGGUCUCCGGGCUCUGUGGUCUCAGAGAGCAGCCUGGGCCCCUCUCCUCGGGCCAGGAGACCAGCGCGCGUUCCUCACAGGACAUCCCUGCCGCCUGCACCCCCGCAGACACACGCGUAAUGUCCACAGCCCCAGUGGAGACUGGCCCAGCUGGAGGCUGGCUUCUCCAGGCAUCUGGGCAGGUGACAGCUGGCGCGCACCGGACCUGCGGCCACCCCAGCCGGCAGAGCUGGCUUCCAGAGUGACCUCUCAACCGUCCUCUCCGCCCUUCCCUGGUGCUGCCUUCAAGGACGUCCAGUCGGCACCUGCUGGCCUUGGCCGGUCGGGAAUCCGUGCCCCCAGCCCGGGUGGGGACUGUGGGCCCCGGGGAGCAGGGCAUCACAGACUCCCCUGAUGGUGAGCCACCAGAGCUGCGUCCUCACGGGGCCCCCCCACACACCUCUGUGCCGCCUUCUCCCUGCUCCCCAUUCUUCUGUCUGGAUGCUUGUCUAUUCACACUUUGUCCCAGGAAACCAAAAACCCCACAAGAAAACCACAGACAAAAGCACCAACUGUAUCUAUCCCAGGGUCCACAAACAUACAGGCCUACUUGACCAGGUAGAAAAUACCAGUGAAUGAGGUGGUUUGCAAGGCCUGGUGGGUCCAUAAGGGGGCAACUGAUAGCGGCCCCUGCUGCUAUGCCAGGCGGAGGGCAGGCUCAGGGCUGCAAAAUACUCUGAAGACAAGUAGGAAAAUGAUCUUGUUUAGUAUGUAAUCUCUUGUGGUUAAACGUUUGUUUAGUCAGUAAGUCGGGUCUGGCUCUGUGACCCCAGGGACUGCAGCCUGCCAGGCUCCUCUGGCAUGGGAUCCUCCAGGCGAGAAUACUGGAGUGGGUUGCCAUGCCCUCCUCCAGGGGAUCUUCCCGACCCAGGGAUCAAGCCUGCGUCUCCUGCAGUAGCAGGCGGGCUCCUGACCACUGGCUGAGCCGCCUGGGAAGCUCUCAAGUGUACCAGGUGCUUGAAUGUUUGUAUGUACUGUGAGACAGCACAGUCCCUCACCAUACACAGUUCCAGAUUUUUUUUUUGUCCUGAUGAGGACUUUCUAAGACCUACCCUCACUGUGAAACUAUAUGGAGUCUGUAGUUAAAUCCAUUUCACCUGUAACCUGCCUUGACGCCUCAAGCUCAUUUUAACCUUUGCUGCAUAAAGAGCCACGUGUCCUCCACGCAGCUCAGAGCCUAAACAACAUGCCUGCUCGAGUUGUCCUCCAAGAACUCGGCUUCAGCUGCCCCUGGUGUGAGCUGAGCUGUGGGACCACGGCCCCUCCAACUGGGCCGGCACGGGUGUCCACAGGGUGACCUUUGGAAGGUGCAGACGCCAGGCCCUGGUUCCACCUGCACAGACCCACGAUGGGACGCCGUUCCCCACCACCUCUCCCUAUUUCUUAUUCCUGAUCCCAUCAUGCCCCAGCCUCUUGCCUGCCCAGAGGUUCAUUUUCCUGUCUCCAUGCUUGGCUGCCUUCUGAAUAAACCCUCAAACCUUGGCAUCUCAGGCGUCUCCGUGGAGUGUGGCCUGCUCCGUGUCAGAAGAUGCUUUUGGAGCCACGUUUAAGAGUUCUUCACCAAGCCUUAGCUCUUGAGUACUUUUCCUGUGUUUUUCCCAAGUGUCCAGUCCUACAGUCUCAGAGCUUUACAGGCUGUGAUCCAUCUGGAGCUGUUUUGCAUCCCGUGCAAGGUUUAGCUGGUUUUCCCCCCGGGUGACGUGCGGUGAGCUUCGGGCCGUCGUGACUCGGCGUUGUCCACGCUGUGAAACGACCACCACCCUUCGUCACGCGCACUGGCGUUUUUGUGACGAGGAUGUUAAGGUCUGCUCUCCCGGUGGCUCCACACAUGCAGGUUUCCGAACCAGGCACCGGGCCGUGCGUGACCUCCCCAGGACUGACUUCGUAAAGGCCUUCCUGGCCUCCCGGCCCUCCACCCACGCUGCUCGCCACACGCGCUGGCCCUGGUUCCGUGUGCUCUCCGCAUCUGCGGACUUGGGUUUUCACUGUGUGUUCUCCAGAUUCCACACGUUCGGCUCAUGGGCAAAGUCAGGGCAAGUCAGGUGGAACGCACGCUCCCUCACAGGGUGAGAGAUGGGUCAGGGUCAGGCUCAAGGCCAGUUUCAAGGUAAAGACCUGGCCUGAGGUUAAGGAUGAAGUCAACCGAAAGUCAGGACAAGACGUGGGCACAGUGAGUGAGUGACAGUCAUUUCAAGGCCGAGGGUGUCAGGGUCAGCAUCGGCGCAACAGCCCUCGGCUGUUUCUCAAAGGAACCGCUUCUUUGUUGGAACUGAGAUGAACGUAGACACACCACUGUCAGGAGCCGCCUUAGGCAUUACUGACAAAAUAGGGGCACGGCCCUAAACCCCCUCCCUUUGUUCCGUAGGCACGGACCCGGAAUGAAGGAGUUAGGCUUUGUGAUUCUGACUUGUGUUUUCCUUUCCUCAGCUGAGUUGACGGAAGAGAAUAUUAAGGUACUUAUUGUUUUUGAGAGGAGCAGGAGAAGGCAUAAAGCCUUCUGCAGCUGUGCUCAAAGAAUAAUCCAUAAAGUUAAUCACUGACAUCUGUUCAAGGACUUUUACAAAAAAGUGUUCCAGGGUGAGCAUGCAGGCCACAGCUUGAGGCCAUGGGAGGGAUUCUAUCUGAAGCUUAUUUGUGAGAAAAGUGUUUAUGGGAAAGGAGUUUGCUGAAUUUAGGGCUUAGGAAUAAUUAAAGUAGUUAGGAACUAAAGGUUUAAGGAUUGCUGUAAUGUUACAAUAUUCUACUAUAGCUUAUAGAAAUUAGGGACUUCAGAGAUAUUAUUAGCUAGAAGCCCUUUCUAAGAAAUAGUGAGCUUAGGAUGCUAGGGGCAGACAGGACUUAGAAAGAUAAGAAACAGGAAUGCGGUACGCAG
ensembl:lncRNA